CCCUUAGAUGUUCUGGGCUGCACGCGCGCUACACUGAUGCACUCAACGAGUUUACGACCUUGCCCGAUAGGGUUGGGUAAUCUUUUUAAAAUGCAUCGUGAUGGGGAUAGAUUAUUGCAAUUAUUAAUCUUCAACGAGGAAUUCCUAGUAAGCGCGAGUCAUCAGCUCGUGCUGAUUACGUCCCUGCCCUUUGUACACACCGCCCGUCGCUCCUACCGAUUGAGUGCUCAGGUGAAUAAUUCGGACUGCAGCAAUGUUUGGAUCCCGAACGUUGCAGCGGAAAGUUUAGUGAGCCUUAUCACUUAGAGGAAGGAGAAGUCGUAACA
rnacentral:rRNA from 1 species